CCUACGGGUGGCAGCAGUGGGGAAUAUUGCACAAUGGGGGAAACCCUGCUGCAACGACGCCGCGUGAUUGAAGACGUAAUUCGUUAUGUAAAGCUCUAUCAGCAGGGAAGAAAAUGACGGUACCUGAGUAAGAAGCCCCGGCUAACUCCGUGCCAGCCACCGAGGUAAUACGUAGGGGGCAAGCGUUAUCCGGAUUUACUGGGCGUAGAGGGGGCGUAGACGGCAGUGCAAGUCUGUUGGGAAAUGCGGGGGCUCAACCCCCGGACUGCUCUUGAAACUGUACGGCUGGAGUGCAGGAGAGGUAAGUGGAAGUUCUGGUGUAGCGGUGAAAUGCGGAGAGAUUAGGAGGAACACCAGUGGCGAAGGCGGCUUACUGGACUGUAACUGACGUUGAGGCUCGAAAGCGUGGGGAGCAAACAGGAUUAGAUACCCGGGUAGUC
rnacentral:rRNA from 1 species